rnacentral:rRNA from 1 species
AGCACGCAAGGCGAGCGGGGGGGGGGCCCCCGCCCCCCGAGAGCGGCGGACGGGAGAGAAACACGAGGACAACCCGCCCCCCGGGGCGGGACAGCCCAGGGAAACCCGGACCAACACCGGACGCGAGGGCGGCCGCACAAGCGGCCGACGGGAAAGGCGCCCCGGCGCCGCCGGGGGAUGGGUCCGCGUCCCAUUAGCUAGACGGUGGGGUAACGGCCCACCGUGGCGAUGAUGGGUAGCCGGCCUGAGAGGGUGGACGGCCACAUUGGAACUGAGACACGGUCCAGACUCCUACGGGAGGCAGCAGCUAAGAAUCUUCCGCAAUGGGCGAAAGCCUGACGGAGCGACGCCGCGUGAACGAAGAAGGCCGUGAGGUUGUAAAGUUCUUUUCGGGAGGGGGAACGAGGCUGCCAGGCAAUGGGCGGCCGAUGACGUGAAUCCCGGAAUAAGCCCCGGCUAACUACGUGCCAGCAGCCGCGGUAACACGUAGGGGGCGAGCGUUGUUCGGAAUCAUUGGGCGUAAAGGGCGUGCAGGCGGCCGCCAAAGUCCGGCGUGAAAGACCCAGGCUCAACCUGGGGGGUGCGCCGGAUACUGGGCGGCUUGAGUACAGGAGGGGACGGCGGAAUUCCAGGUGUAGGGGUGAAAUCUGUAGAUAUCUGGAGGAACACCGAUGGCGAAGGCAGCCGUCUGGCCAUGUACUGACGCUGAGGCGCGAAGGUGCGGGGAGCAAACAGGUUUAGAUACCCUGGUAGUCCGCACAGUAAACGAUGUGCACCAGGCGGGCGGGGGCAACCUCGCUGCCGCAGUCAACGCAUUAAGUGCACCGCCUGGGGAGUAUGCCCGCAAGGGUGAAACUCAAAGGAAUUGACGGGGGCCCGCACAAGCGGUGGAGCAUGUGGUUUAAUUCGACGCAACGCGAAGAACCUUACCAGCUCUUGACAUCUUCUGUUCACCCUAGAGAUAGGGCUUCCCCUUCGGGGGCAGAAAGACAGGUGGUGCAUGGUUGUCGUCAGCUCGUGUCGUGAGAUGUUGGGUUAAGUCCCAUAACGAGCGCAACCCUUAUUGUUAGUUGCCAGCAUUUAGUUGGGCACUCUAGCGAGACUGCCGGUGAUAAACCGGAGGAAGGUGGGGAUGACGUCAAAUCAUCAUGCCCCUUAUGAGCUGGGCUACACACGUGCUACAAUGGACGGUACAACGAGUGGCGAGGCCGCAAGGCUUAGCGAAUCUUUAUAAGCCGUUCUCAGUUCGGAUUGUUCUCUGCAACUCGAGAGCAUGAAGCCGGAAUCGCUAGUAAUCGCGGAUCAGAAUGUCGCGGUGAAUACGUUCCCGGGUCUUGCACUCACCGCCCGUCA